ensembl:lncRNA
AACGAAGUACGACAAGGUUCAGCUCCUCACGCUGCCACGGCGACGCUUCCCGCCGCCUUCUCGGACCUGUUACCUCACUUCUUGGUAGAGCCGGAGGACGAGUACAUCGUAAAGAACAAGCCGGUGACUCUGACCUGCCGCUCCACCCCGGCCACGCAGAUCUACUUCAAAUGCAACGGCGAGUGGGUUCACCAAGAUGACCACUUGAUUGAACGGACUGUUGACCCAGCAACAGCGCUGCCAGUCAUGCAGGUGACAAUCGAAAUAACCAGGCAGCAGGUGGAGAAGAUCUUCGGACUUGAUGAGUACUGGUGUCAGUGUGUCGCCUGGAGCACCACCGGAACCCAGAAGAGCCAGAAAGCAUACAUCAGGAUUGCUUACCUGAGAAAGAACUUUGAGGAGGAGCCGCAGGGUAAAGAGGUGGCAUUGGACCAGGAGGUGUUGCUGCGCUGCCAUCCCCCCGAGGGAGUGCCACAAGCCGAGGUGGAGUGGCAGAGAAACGAGGAUGUGAUCGACCCAGCGAGUGACCCCAAUUUUGUCAUCACGCCCGACCAUAAUCUCGUCAUCAAAAAAGCCCGGCUGGCCGACACCGGCAACUACACGUGCGUGGCCAAAAACAUCGUCGCUCGCCGCAAAAGCACCUCUGCCGCGAUCCUUGUCUAUGUCAACGGUGGCUGGUCCACGUGGACCACCUGGUCGUCCUGCAGUGCCGUGUGUGGGCGUGGCUGGCAGAAGAGGAGUCGGAGCUGCACCAACCCCACGCCACUGAAUGGAGGCACAUCCUGUGAGGGGCAGAACGUCCAGAAAAGUGCCUGUGUGGCCACCUGUCCAGUGGACGGAGGCUGGAGCGAGUGGAGCAAGUGGUCAGCAUGUGGCGCAGACUGUUCGAUGUGGAGGAGCAGAGAGUGCACCCAGCCCUCACCUGGCACAGGGGGCAAAGACUGCCAGGGGCUUGAUCUCCAGUCUCUCAACUGUACCAGCGAGCAGUGUCCACAGACCGUGAGCGGAGCCGAGGACGUGGCGCUCUAUGUGGGCAUGGUGGCCGUGGCCCUGUGUCUGACCCUGCUGCUCAUUGUGGUCGUCCUGGUCUACAGGCGCAAGAAGGAAGGCCUGGAUGCCGACGUGGCCGACUCCUCCAUCCUCACCACUGGCUUCCAGCCCAUGGGCAUCAAGCCCAGCAAGCCAGAGAACUCCCAUUUACUCACCAUCCAGCCUGAUCUAACCACCACCACCACCAGUUAUCAAGGCACCCUGCGCUCUCGCCACGAUGCCACCGGGAAGUUUUCGAUGACCAACGGGCCUCUGCUGGACCCGCUUCCCAACGGCUCACACACCUUGCACAACGGCAAGCUCAACUCUGAUGCUGCUGCCGAGUUUGUGAGCAGGCUCUCCACCCAGAGCUACUUUAAAACGCUGCCCCGCGACGUGGCCAACACCUCCUACGGGACCUUCAACUUCCUAGGCGGCAGGCUGACUAUCCCCAACACAGGAAUCAGUCUGCUCAUUCCUCCCGAGGCCAUCCCCAGAGGAAAGAUCUAUGAGAUUUAUCUCACUGUUCAGAGGAAGGAAGAUUUAAGGUUACCCCUGGCUGGCUGCCAGACCCUCCUCAGCCCCAUUGUGAGUUGUGGCCCUCCGGGGGUGGUCCUGAGCCGGCCAGUUAUCCUCAGCAUGGACCACUGCUUUGAUGCAUGCCUGGAUAACUGGGCCGUGCGCCUUAAGAAGCAGAACUAUGAGGGCGCUUGGGAGGACGUCCUGUUGAUGGGAGAGGAGCUGGUGUCAGACCCUUAUUACUGCCAGCUCGAGGCCGAGACGUGCCGGCUCUUCUCGGAGCAGCUGGGUACAUUCGCCCUGGUGGGCGAGUCCCUGCACAUGGGCGCCGCCAAGCGCCUGAGGCUGGUGCUCUUCUCGGACGCUUACUGCUCCACGCUGGAGUACAACAUCAGGGUAUACUGCAAUUCACAUGAUGCACUAAGCAUCUCUUCUUCUCUUAUCUCUUUUCACACUCUGUCUCGGGGUCGGCUGAUUGACGAGCCUCACGUCCUGCUUUUCAAAGACAGCUACCACAACCUGCGCCUGUCCAUCCAUGACAUGCCCCAGGCGCACUGGAGGAGCAAGCUGCUAGCCGGCUACCAGGAGAUCCCAUUCUACCACAUCUGGAACGGUUCCCAGCGGUACCUGCACUGCACGUUCACUCUGGAGCGGCUCAGCCUCAGCACCUGCGAGCUCACCUGCCAGCUGUGUGUGUGGCAGGUGGAGGGGGAGGGACAGAGCUUUAGCCUGGACUUUAACAUUGCCAAGGUAACGUUCUUUCUGUUAAUGGACAGUAACGCCACAGCUCUGGCGGGACCCAGCGCCUUUCAGAUCCCGUACCUCAUCAGGCAGAAGAUCUGCAGCAGCCUGGAUGCCCCCUGUCCCAACGGAGCCGACUGGAGAAUGCUAGCACAAAGACUUAAACUCGAGAGACACAUGAGUUUCCUUGCAUCCAAAGCGAGCCCAACCUCUGUGAUCCUGGACCUAUGGGAGGCGCAACAUUUCCACAGCGGCAACAUCAACCAGCUGGCCACGGUCAUGGCCGACAUCGGCAAACAGGAAGCCAUGAUAUUCCUGGUCUCCGAUGGCGAGUGCUAA